rnacentral:rRNA from 1 species
GAUGAACGCUGGCGGCGUGCUUAACACAUGCAAGUCGAACGGACGAUGAAGAGCUUGCUCUUCAAAGUUAGUGGCGGACGGGUGAGUAACGCGUGGGUAACCUGCCUCAUGCAGGGGGAUAGCAGCUGGAAACGGCUGAUAAAACCGCAUAAGCGCACAGCAUCGCAUGAUGCAGUGUGAAAAACUCCGGUGGUAUGAGAUGGACCCGCGUCUGAUUAGCUGGUUGGUGAGGUAACGGCCCACCAAGGCGACGAUCAGUAGCCGGCCUGAGAGGGUGACCGGCCACAUUGGGACUGAGACACGGCCCAAACUCCUACGGGAGGCAGCAGUGGGGAAUAUUGCACAAUGGGGGAAACCCUGAUGCAGCGACGCCGCGUGAAGGAAGAAGUAUCUCGGUAUGUAAACUUCUAUCAGCAGGGAAGAUAAUGACGGUACCUGACUAAGAAGCCCCGG